rnacentral:rRNA from 1 species
GGAAUGAGACCAAGCCCAGACUCAUACGGGAGGCAGCAGUGGGGAAUAUUGGACAAUGGGGGCAACCCUGAUCCAGCAAUGCCGCGUGAGUGAAGAAGGCCUUCGGGUUGUAAAGCUCUUUUAUCAGGGAAGAUAAUGACGGUACCUGAUGAAUAAGCUCCGGCUAACUUCGUGCCAGCAGCCGCGGUAAUACGAAGGGGGCUAGCGUUGUUCGGAAUUACUGGGCGUAAAGGGCGCGUAGGCGGCUUUGAAAGUCAGAUGUGAAAGCCCCGGGCUUAACCUGGGAACUGCAUUUGAUACUGCAAGGCUAGAGAUUGUGAGAGGUAAGUGGAAUUAUGAGUGUAGAGGUGAAAUUCGUAGAUAUUCAUAAGAACAUCAGUGGCGAAGGCGGCUUACUGGCACAAUACUGACGCUAAGGCGCGAAAGCGUGGGGAGCAAACAGGAUUAGAUACCCUGGUAGUCCACGCUGUAAACGAUGAGUGCUAGAUGUUGGUUGGGUCACCAAUCGGUGUCGAAGCUAACGCAUUAAGCACUCCGCCUGGGGAGUACGGUCGCAAGAUUAAAACUCAAAGGAAUUGACG